rnacentral:lncRNA from 1 species
GUGCGGGGCGCAGCGCCGCGUCCACCCCGCAACGCGCAUACGGCGCAAGAUGGUACUUGCUAUUCUCCUCCCUCCAUAAUAUUCUCACAACAACCAGGCUAAGAAGGAGCGACUCGUCCAAGAUCACCUGGAGAGAUUCCAGUCCUUGCGCUGGCUGCACUUCCCAAACAAUUUUCAAGGGCUGCCCUGUGUAGCUUCCAUUGCAGCAACUGAGAUCAGAUGAUUUGCCCAUGCAGUAUCAUGACUGAACUAUCUUGGUCCAGCAACAACUUCACUAG